UUAUUACCACCUUCGCGUUUUUCUCUCUCUCUUACAACAAAAGAUUCAAAAACCCUAGAUUUCUCAAAAUCGAUUGGCUUUCAAAAUUCUCUCCGGCGAUUUCUCCGAUUGAAAUUCAGCUCACGGUGAUUACCUCGAACGUCGAAUCGAAUUGAUCGAAGAGGUACAAAGGUUAGGUUACUUUGAGCUGAAAGAUGAACUCACAAGAGGUGAGAGUUCCUCGAGGAAAUCGACGGAGGAAAGCUGUGAUUGAUCUGAAUGCUGUACCUGGAGAUCAAGAAGGGACCUCUGCUUCUGUAAGAUCUCCUACGGUGCCUACUACACCGUCUCAGCCUGCUCCUACAAUGAUUGAUGUCGAUGCUAUUGAAGAUGAUGUUAUUGAAUCAUCCGCUAGUGCUUUUGCUGAAGCUAAAAGCAAAUCGAGAAAUGCACGUCGGAGACCUUUGAUGGUUGAUGUAGAGUCAGGAGGUACGACUAGAUUGCCUGCCAACAUAAGCAACAAACGCAGAAGGGUUCCUUCUAGUGAACCUGUCAUCGACUGUGAGCAUGCAUAUGUAAAUGAUGAAGUCAACAUGUCUUCGAGAAUGUCUAGAUCAAAGGCUCCAGCUCCUCCACCAGAAGAGCCAAAGUUUACAUGUCCAAUCUGCAUGUGUCCCUUUACAGAGGAGAUGUCAACUAAGUGCGGUCACAUCUUCUGCAAGGGAUGUAUAAAGAUGGCAAUAUCUCGCCAGGGCAAAUGCCCGACUUGUAGGAAAAAGGUUACUGCGAAAGAGCUGAUCCGAGUAUUCCUUCCAGCCACUAGAUGAGUGGUCCGGCAACAUCACCAGCCACCCUGUCUAAUGGUUUGUCAUACUAUCCUCCUAUUCACUUUGGAACAUUGAAGGGACUUCAUUGACUUCAUAAUUUUGAAUAUUUUGCUUUGGUGGAAGAGAAAUAUUCACUCAUCAAGAAGCCAGAAGGCCCUAUCAUUUGAUGAAUAUCAUUGUAUGCAUCGUCACCUAGUCAUGGAAACACAGUGGAUGCAGCAACAUUGUUAUCACCUGUAGUGUGAGAUCCGUGUACGGGGUUCUGUUUGUUGAGGCCAGCUUUGAGAUGAAAAUGACCAAACCUUCCUUUAUGAAAGGGCCAGCCAUAGUGUGGAAGAUGAAACCAACCCCAGAGUUUCUGGUUAUUGGCAAUGACCUCACUUUGCUCCUCAGGUACAUACCUCCCUCCUUCAGCGCCUGAAAGUAGAAGUGCCAUCAGAAUUAGUGCCAGAAGGAGCUUGGCUUUAGUGUUAUUCUUCUCCAUUGUGAUUUAUAUAUGGUAGUCUAGUUUGAUAUUUUCCUCUUGCUUGGGUGGUGAUACUGAGAAGUGAGAACUGGAUUUUAUAGGCCAAGCUGGUGAUCUCGUGGUUGUUUAGUUUCCUUCUUUGUGAGGGAUAUUGAAUGGUGUAUAGAUUAUAGUUUUUGAUCCUUUUGAAAUGUUGGUCCACAGUUUUAUUAA